GCGUCAGUAGGUUGGUCGUGCCACCGGUACGUACUGGUCUCACUGAUUCCUCCUUCCUGAAGAACCGUAAUGCCAUUAAUUUGGUGUUGCGGGGAAACAGGACUGUUGCUUUGAAAAAAUUAGAGUGUUUAAAGCAAGCUAACGCUUGAAUACAUUAGCAUGGAAUAAUGAAAUAGGACGAUCGAUCCUAUUUUGUUGGUUUCUAGGAUUGACGUA
rnacentral:rRNA from 1 species